rnacentral:rRNA from 1 species
AGUGAACGCUGGCGGUAGGCCUAACACAUGCAAGUCGAACGGCAGCACAGGAGUGCUUGCUCUCUCGGUGGCGAGUGGCGGGCGGGUGAGGAAUACAUCGGCAUCUGCCCAGUCGUGGGGGAUAACGUAGGGAAACUUACGCUAAUACCGCAUACGACCUUCUGGUGAAUGAGGGGGAUCGCAAGACCUCUCGCGAUUGGAUAAGCCGAUGUGGGCUUCGUUAGUUAGCGGGGUAAUGGUCCCCCAAGGGGACGAUCGGUAGCUGGUCUGAGGGGAGGUUCAGGCACAGUGGAGCUGAGACGCGGCACAGGCUCCGACGGGAGGCAGCAGUGGGGAAUAGUGGAAAAUGGGCGCAAGCCUGAACCAGCCACAGCGCGUGGGUGAAGAAGGCCCUCGGGUUGUAAAGCCCUUUUGUUGGGAAAGAAAGCUUUCAGGCGAAUACCCGGGGAGGAGGACGGAACCGAAAGAAUAAGCACCGGCUAACUCCGG